GUGUUUUGUCUCAAGGUUAACUAGAGGGCACCGAACAAGUAAAGCUGUGCUGAAAAGAACAGUGGCCAAGAGAGGGAUAUUCUUAUACCACACACAGUCAUGCAGAUGGAAGUCUGGCCAACAAAACCAUAAAGCAUCACGUCUCACUGUGAGUCAAUCUGUCAGCUCAAGUACAAGGUGACUCAGGAAAAGACUCGGUCUGUUUUCUGAUAGACUCACGAUGGACUCAUCAGAAAUAUUUAGAGGUGGAGGAGAGCAAUGUCAUCAUUGUCAGGCUGUGGAGCAACAAUUACUGCUGGCAACAGAGGAAAAUGGGACAGUAGAGCCCAUGCCUCCAACCAUCGAUUGCCCUUUAGAUAUCACAGGACCUGUUUCUCUUACCAUGGGAUCUCUGGCUUUACAACACUGGUGUCAUAGUGCCAAGAAUGUCGGUGUAAUGCAAAGCUGAAGUAUUCCUGGAUCCCUGGACUGCGGAGAAGAAAAAGCAACAGCAUCAUCUGUUAAAGGGACUGCCAACCACAUCAAUAUAUUCUGCUGAAAUCAAGCUUAUAUCACUUUCCUACUGUGUAAAAUUUUCUACACUGUAGCGGCUUCCAACAGUAAAUUUUUUAUUGCUUGCA